rnacentral:rRNA from 1 species
GAUGAACGCUAGCGGCAGGCCUAAUACAUGCAAGACGAACGGUAAGUUGAGUAGCAAUACUUAGCCAAGAGUGUCGUACGGGUGCGUAACACGUAUGCAACCUACCCUAUACAGGAGGAUAGCCUAGGGAAACCUGGAUUAACCCUUCAUAGUAUUAUUGGAUGGCAUCAUUUGAUAAUUAAAACUGAGGUGGUAUAGGAUGGGCAUGCGUCUGAUUAGUUAGUUGGCGGGGUAAUGGCCCACCAAGACGAUGAUCAGUAGGGGUUCUGAGAGGAAGAUCCCCCACACUGGCACUGAG